UCAACAUGCUCAGCCUAGUGGUUCUCCUAAGGACAGUUCCGUCUUAUCUUUCUUCUUCUCUUUCAUAAAAGAUUUCUUCUUGGACCCCUAGCCUCAGCUCCAUCAAGUUCUUUCCUGCAGCUUGAAGACCCCACGUUAUCAACCCAGGAUUACCUACUUCUCUGUUGCCUGCAGUGCAAAGUCAAGAGUGCAGCCCUUCCAGGGGGAGAACCACCAGCGGCUUCUGAGAUCCAUGCCAUGUUGGAACUUAGGACCCUGGGAAACCAAGCAAGCAGCUCCCCUCCCUGGUAAGUGGCUGCAGUGUGGCAGACUGUGGCCCUUCCAGGGGGAGAACCAUCAGCGGCUCCUGAGAUGCACAUCAUGUUGAAACCUAGGACCCUGGGAAACCAAAAAAGCAGCUUCCCUUCCUGGUAAGCGGCGGUGGUGUGGCCUGCUGUGGCCCUUCCAGGGAGAGAAUCACCAGUGUCCCCUGAGAUCCACACCAUGUUAGAACUUACAGAGCUGGGGAACCAAGCAACCAGCCUGCCUCCCUGCUAAGCAAUUGUAAACCUACUGGUGCACACCCUAGAGUCAAACAUCCCUCUUCUCCUGUCCCCCCUGUUAGCAAAUGGGAACCAGAGAUCUGAGCAUCUCCUGAGAGGUUGACCAUAGCAAAUAAGGGGGAUUUCCUUCUACCAUCUCUUUGAAGGCAAAUAUUUUUAUUACUGUUUUGCUCUAUUCUGAUUAAUGGUACUGCUCUAUUUAAUAUUCUGUUUUGAUAAAUUCUAUAAUAGUCUGUAUUUCAUUUCAUUUUGAUAUACGUGAUUGAAAGAAUAACUAUUGUAAAGAUAACGAAAUAUAUUGUGAUACCUAUUACUGUUAUCCCAGUAACCUGCUGUGAAGUUCUGUACCAAUUUCACUAUACGAUCUUAGUUGACUUUCUUCUGUCUUGUUCUGUUGUAUUUUACUACUUUCAAAAUAAAAUUUUAAAAAAGAA